rnacentral:rRNA from 1 species
GGAGGGUCCAAGCGUUAUCCGGAAUCAUUGGGUUUAAAGGGUCCGUAGGCGGUUUUGUAAGUCAGUGGUGAAAGCCCAUCGCUCAACGGUGGAACGGCCAUUGAUACUGCAAGACUUGAAUUAUUGGGAAGCAACUAGAAUAUGUAGUGUAGCGGUGAAAUGCUUAGAUAUUACAUGGAAUACCAAUUGCGAAGGCAGGUUGCUACCAAUACAUUGACGCUGAUGGACGAAAGCGUGGGGAGCGAACAGGAUUAGAUACCCUGGUAGUCCACGCCGUAAACGAUGGAUACUAGCUGUUCGGAGCAAUCUGAGUGGCUAAGCGAAAGUGAUAAGUAUCCCACCUGGGGAGUACGUUCGCAAGAAUG